rnacentral:rRNA from 1 species
GACGAACGCUGGCGGCGUGCCUAAUACAUGCAAGUCGAGCGGAUUGAUUUGGAGCUUGCUCCAAUGAUGUCAGCGGCGGACGGGUGAGUAACACGUGGGUAACCUGCCUGACAGACUGGGAUAACGCUUGGAAACGAGUGCUAAUACCGGAUAGGCUCUUUGACCGCAUGGUUGAAGAGGGAAAGAGGCUAUCGCCUCACUGUUAGAUGGACCCGCGGCGCAUUAGCUAGUUGGUGAGGUAAUGGCUCACCAAGGCGACGAUGCGUAGCCGACCUGAGAGGGUGACCGGCCACACUGGGACUGAGACACGGCCCAGACUCCUACGGGAGGCAGCAGUAGGGAAUCUUCCACAAUGGGCGCAAGCCUGAUGGAGCAACGCCGCGUGAGUGAUGAAGGCCUUCGGGUUGUAAAACUCUGUCUUCUGUGACGAACAAGCCUGUGAGUGGAAAACUCAGGCCCUGACGGUAACAGAGGAGGAAGCCACGGCUAACUACGUGCCAGCAGCCGCGGUAAUACGUAGGUGGCAAGCGUUGUCCGGAAUCACUGGGCGUAAAGCGCGCGCAGGCGGCGAUCUACGUCUGGGGUGAAAGCCCGGAGCUCAACUCCGGGACUGCCUUGGAUACGGGAUCGCUUGAGGAUUGGAGAGGCAAGGGGAAUUCCACGUGUAGCGGUGAAAUGCGUAGAUAUGUGGAGGAACACCUGUGGCGAAGGCGCCUUGCUGGCCAAUUUCUGACGCUGAGGCGCGAAAGCGUGGGAAGCAAACAGGAUUAGAUACCCUGGUAGUCCACGCCGUAAACGAUGAGUGCUAGGUGUUGGGGGGUACCACCCUCAGUGCCGAAGCUAACGCAUUAAGCACUCCGCCUGGGGAGUACGGUCGCAAGACUG